rnacentral:antisense_RNA from 1 species
AAAAGGAUAAUACCAAGGAAAACUACGGGUGGGGGCAGUGAAUGGCCAACAUGCCUAUAAUCCCAGCACUUGAAACCAGGAGUUCAAGACCAGCCUGGGAAACAAAGCAAGACCCUGUGUCUAAAAAAAUUUUUUUUAAAAUUAGCUGGGCAUGGUGGCACGUGCCUAUAGUCCCAGCUACUCAGCUACUCGAGAGACCAAGACGUGGAAUAAACUUGACAAAUGCUAAAGAUGCUCUUUGAUUUUUGUGUGGCAUGAGACCUCAGGCUGAAACUUCUCAUCUGAGCCAUUGAGGGGAGCCUCUCAUCUCUCCACCGAGAGGGGGAGACCAGAAUGGUUCCUUCAGGCACAUUCUGUUGGGCUUCCCUCUACCUCCCCACUCUGCUGCUUUCCAGCUCUUUUUGAAUUUCUCCCUGCUGAGGAGAGGGAAGACCAGCUAGGAGAGGAUCUGGAUUGAGAAACUUGCCAUGCUUUUCUCUCAGAUGUUCUCUUUUCUCUGAAGACAGCAGGACCUCAUCCAAAGCUCUGUUU